AUUAAAAAUGGCGGACGUUUGAUGUUUUGAUUUUAAAUCUUGAUUUUUUUACUCCCAGUGGCCUAAAUUUCGCAGGAUAUUAGUGCCAAAGAAAGCAGAAAUCAUGAAUUCUAUGGCUGAAGAUGACCCAACUUUGCCGUUGGACUUGGAAAAAAGUACGAAUAUCGCUCGCUUCAAACAGGCCAUAGCGUCGAGAGAGUUUGGAGAAGAAAUGUUGAAUAUUUCGAGCGAAUUCCCCGAAGAAAACUUUCAAAAUCUCACAGGAACGAGUGAAAAUGCCAAGGAAAGUGCAGCAUCCCAAAUGAAGACUUUGAGAGAUUAUGAAAUGGUAA